rnacentral:rRNA from 1 species
UGGGGAAUAUUGGACAAUGGGGGCAACCCUGAUCCAGCCAUGCCGCGUGAGUGAUGAAGGCCUUAGGGUUGUAAAGCUCUUUCGUCAGGGAAGAUAAUGACGGUACCUGAAGAAGAAGCCCCGGCUAACUUCGUG